CAGUAGCCGCGGGAAUACGGAGGGUGCGAGCGUUAAUCGGAAUAACUGGGCGUAAAGGGCACGCAGGCGGUGACUUAAGUGAGGUGUGAAAGCCCCGGGCUUAACCUGGGAAUUGCAUUUCAUACUGGGUCGCUAGAGUACUUUAGGGAGGGGUAGAAUUCCACGUGUAGCGGUGAAACGCGUAGAGAUGUGGAGGAAUACCGAAGGCGAAGGCAGCCCCUUGGGAAUGUACUGACGCUCAUGUGCGAAAGCGUGGGGAGCAAACAGGAUUAGAUACCCCCGUAGUCCCUGUCUCUUAUAC
rnacentral:rRNA from 1 species